rnacentral:rRNA from 1 species
UACGGAGGAUCCAAGCGUUAUCCGGAUUCAUUGGGUUUAAAGGGUGCGUAGGCGGAAUUGUAAGUCAGUGGUGAAAUCCUGUAGCUUAACUACAGAACUGCCAUUGAUACUGCAAAUCUUGAGUACAUUUGAUGUGGGCGGAAUGUGUCAUGUAGCGGUGAAAUGCUUAGAUAUGACACAGAACACCGAUUGCGAAGGCAGCUCACAAAACUGUAACUGACGCUGAGGCACGAAAGCGUGGGUAUCAAACAGG